rnacentral:sRNA from 1 species
UGCGGCUGGAUCACCUCCUUUCUAAGGAUGGUUCUUCAGAAGCUUGCUUCUAUCGAACCGUUUUAGAAACAUCAGUGGCCAACAGAUCGCCAGAUCGUUGAGCUGCAUUGGCGGGAUUUCGCCGUCUUCGUUUCUCUUUCUUCGCGGACGAACACGCGCUGGGGCUGCAGGCUUGCAGAUCCCUGGUCCUUGACUGGAUAUGCGUUAGGGGCUUGUAGCUCAGUUGGUUAGAGCGCGCGCUUGAUAAGCGUGAGGUCGGAAGUUCAAGUCUUCCCAGGCCCACCACUUUCAUCGAGUGUGCAUUCGUCUUCUGGUUACGGGGCCAUAGCUCAGCUGGGAGAGCGCGUGCUUUGCAAGCAUGAGGUCGUCGGUUCGAUCCCGUCUGGCUCCACCAGAUGGUUUGAUCACCGAGAUCUCGUACCGUCGUCCGCGAAACAUCACUUCGCACUUGCUAGUCCGGAUGGACAGCAGGCUGCGUGAUUUCUGACAUCGUAAAGAGGAGAUCGAUCCGAGUUGGAUCGUGCGGAGAAUAUCCGCGCGAGACUUCAUUAUCUCCGGAUCAUUUCGGCGCUCGCGCGCCUUUCAGUGUGGCUCACAAGGCUGCGUCUGAAAGACAUGCGAGUUGUGAAUGAUCCUUUUAGCGAAGCUUGACCGCCUCGCUAUCGGAACGAUCUUACGAAGCAAGCUGGUCUUUCUAGUCAAUGUCCGGCUGUACGUAGCGUUCAUCGAGGGCGCGUGCCUUAGAGACUUCGGUCUCUUGGCAGUCGUACAGACAACAUUCUGCCGAGUGUGUGGACAUUGAUAAUGAGAGCAAUCAAGUGCCUUAAGGGUGUUCGGUGGAUGCCUUGGCGCUGAGAGGCGAUGAAGGACGUGCUACGCUGCGAUAAGCCGUGGGGAGCUGCGAAGAAGCUUUGAUCCGCGGAUUUCCGAAUGGGGAAACCCACCUUCGAUAGCCGGAACUCCAAGACCUUAGGUUUUGGGGUUUGACCAGAAAUGAUCGGGACCAUGACCGCAAGGUUUUGGAUUUCCGGUUAUCAAGAGAAGGUAUGAGACUUCUGAAUACAUAGGAGGUUUCAAGCGAACCCAGGGAACUGAAACAUCUAAGUACCUGGAGGAAAGGACAUCAACAGAGACUCCGUUAGUAGUGGCGAGCGAACGCGGACCAGGCCAGUGAUACAUCAAAGACAAUCGGAACCAGUCAGGAAAGCUGGGCCUCAGAGGGUGAUAGCCCCGUACGAGUAAUGCGAUGAUGUAUCCACGAGUAAGGCGGGACACGUGCAAUCCUGUCUGAACACGGGGGGACCACCCUCCAAGCCUAAGUACUCCUCAGCGACCGAUAGCGAACUAGUACCGUGAGGGAAAGGUGAAAAGCACCCCGACGAGGGGAGUGAAAUAGACCUGAAACCGGACACCUACAAACAGAUGGAGCCCAAGAUACGUUCUGGGUGACAUCGUACCUUUUGUAUUAUGGGCCAGCGACUUAAUUUAACGAGCAAGCUUAAGCCGAUAGGCGAAGGCGUAGCGAAAGCGAGUCUGAAUAGGGCGUCAAGUUCGUUGUAUUAGACCCGAAACCUAGUGAUCUAGCCAUGAGCAGGUUGAAGGUGAGGUAACACUCACUGGAGGACCGAACGGGUGCCUGUUGAAAAAGGCUCCGAUGACUUGUGGUUAGGGGUGAAAGGCCAAUCAAACUGGGAAAUAGCUGGUUCUCCGCGAAAGAUAUUUAGGUAUCGCCUCGGAUGAAUACCUCAGGGGGUAGAGCACUGGAUGGGCUAGGGGGACUUACCGUCUUACCAAACCCAACCAAACUCCGAAUACCUGAGAGUACUAUCCGGGAGUCACACGGCGGGUGCUAACGUCCGUCGUGGAGAGGGAAACAACCCGGACCUACAGCUAAGGCCCCUAAUUCGUGGCUAAGUGGGAAAGGAUGUGGAAAUCCCAAAACAACCAGGAGGUUGGCUUAGAAGCAGCC